CACGGAGUUAGCCGGGGCUUAUUCUCCCGGUACUGUCAUUAUCAUCCCGGGUAAAAGAGCUUUACGACCCUAAGGCCUUCUUCACUCACGCGGCAUUGCUGGAUCAGGCUUUCGCCCAUUGUCCAAUAUUCCCCACUGCUGCCUCCCGUAGGAGUCUGGGCCGUGUCUCAGUCCCAGUGUGGCUGAUCAUCCUCUCAGACCAGCUACGGAUCGUCGCCUUGGUAGGCCUUUACCCCACCAACUAGCUAAUCCGACGCGGGCUCAUCCCUAGGCGAUAAAUCUUUGGCCUUGCGGCAUCAUACGGUAUUAGCAGUCAUUUCUAACUGUUAUUCCGUACCUAAGGGCAGAUUCCCACGUGUUACGCACCCGUGCGCCACUAAGCCCGAAGGCUUCGUUCGACUUGCAUGUGUUAGGCAUGCCGCCAGCGUUCGUUCUGAGCCAGGAUCAAACUC
rnacentral:rRNA from 1 species